UGGGGACAGCUGGGAUGGAGGGACCAGGUCAGGGAAGUGAGGAAGAGAGGCUGGAGGGGCUGAUGCAAAGGCCAGGAAAGGAAGGCAUCAGAGUCUGGAUAAAGAAGCCAAGUGGACCACAGAUUAUCACGGGUUGGGGAGUCUGGUACGGCUGGGCCCCAACGUGGCUCUCUAAAACUGUUCACGCGAACACACGUCCCACCUCCUCGCCUGAGUUCCGUUUAACGCUAGGGAUGCAGAGCCUAAGACCCGGCCGCCAUCCCCAAGAGGCUCACAGUGGCGAGGAAGCCAGACCCAUAACAGGCCGGCCGAGAGCCAGGCCGAAGGUGCCAGGACGGAGGUGGCCCAGGUAACUCGGCCCCAAAGAGGCCCUCUGGGAAGGCUGCCUGGAGGCGGCGGGGCCGGACCUCGGGUCGCGGGCUUGGGAAGAGCGGAGGAGCGCGGCACGCCGGCCUCUCCGGGCGGGAGGGCGGCCCGAACGGACUCGCGCGGCCGGGUCUCCCUCCCCGCCCCUGCCAUCCCCGGGCGCCCCGCGUCCCCCGGGCCAUCCUAUGCCAGGCUCCGCGCGGGUCGGAAGCCAAAGCCGGAAGGGCCGGUCCUGCGGCGGGGCGUCCUCUCCCGUCGCCAGCGCGGCCGCCGACCUCGUCGCCAGCAAGCCCGGGGCCCCGCCGCCCUCCCGCUGAGUCAGCCGCACAAAGCACAGCAGCAGAAAAGGCCUCCUUCACCUGUUGGCAGAGGCUUCCUGGCUCUCAGUCUUCAUGACUCCCCUAGAUGCCCUUGACCUAAGAGAGAGCCCUCAACUUCCAUUUAUUGAACAAUAAAUACACAUAUCUGUUUGUUUCUA